rnacentral:rRNA from 1 species
GACGAACGCUGGCGGCGUGCCUAAUACAUGCAAGUAGAACGCUGAAGAGAGGAUCUUGCUCUUCUUGGAUGAGUUGCGAACGGGUGAGUAACGCGUAGGUAACCUGCCUGGUAGCGGGGGAUAACUAUUGGAAACGAUAGCUAAUACCGCAUAACAACAGUUGUUGCAUGACAGCUGUUUAAAAGAUGCAAUUGCAUCACUACCAGAUGGACCUGCGUUGUAUUAGCUAGUUGGUGAGGUAACGGCUCACCAAGGCGACGAUACAUAGCCGAACUGAGAGGGGGAUCGGCGACACUGGGACGGGGACACGGCCCAGACGCCUACGGGAGGCAGCAGUAGGGAAUCUUCGGCAAUGGGGGGAACCCUGACCGAGCAACGCCGCGUGAGUGAAGAAGGUUUUCGGAUCGUAAAGCUCGGUUGUAAGAGAAGAACGGGUGUGAGAGUGGAAAGUUCACACUGUGACGGUAUCUGACCAGAAAGGGACGGCUAACUACGUG